AGAGUUUGAUCAUGGCUCAGAACGUACGCUGGCGGCACGCCUAAUACAUGCAAGUCGAACGGGGUAGCAAUACCCAGUGGCAGACGGGUGAGUAACAUGUGGGUACCUUCCCUUUGGUGAGGAAUAACACGAGGAAACUUGUGCUAAUACCUCAUAAGUCUUUACGGAGAAAGCUUUAUGCGCCAAUGGAUGGGCCCGCACUUGAUUAGUUAGUUGGUAAGGUAAUGGCUUACCAAGACUUUGAUCAAUAGCUGAUUUGAGAGGAUGAUCAGCCACAUUGGGACUGAGACACGGCCCAAACUCCUACGGGAGGCAGCAGUAGGGAAUCUUGCACAAUGGAGGAAACUCUGAUGCAGCGAUGCCGCGUGAGUGAAGAAGCCCUUGGGUUGUAAAGCUCUUUCGUCGGGGAAGAAAAUGACUGUACCCGAAUAAGAAGGUCCGGCUAACUUCGUGCCAGCAGCCGCGGUAAUACGAAGGGACCUAGCGUAGUUCGGAAUUACUGGGCUUAAAGAGUUCGUAGGUGGUUAAAAAAGUUGGUGGUGAAAUCCCAGAGCUUAACUCUGGAACUGCCAUCAAAACUUUUUAGCUAGAGUAUGAUAGAGGAAAGCAGAAUUUCUAGUGUAGAGGUGAAAUUCGUAGAUAUUAGAAAGAAUACCAAUUGCGAAGGCAGCUUUCUGGAUCAUUACUGACACUGAGGAACGAAAGCAUGGGUAGCGAAGAGGAUUAGAUACCCUCGUAGUCCAUGCCGUAAACGAUGUGUGUUAGAUGUUGGAAAUUUAUUUUCAGUAUCGCAGCGAAAGCGUUAAACACACCGCCUGGGGAGUACGACCGCAAGGUUAAAACUCAAAUGAAUUGACGGGGACCCGCACAAGUAGUGGAGCAUGUGGUUUAAUUCGAAGAUACGCGCAGAACCUUACCAACACUUGACAUGUUUGUCGCGACUUUAAGAGAUUAAAGUCUUCGGUUCGGCCGGACAAAACACAGGUGCUGCAUGGCUGUCGUCAGCUCGUGUCGUGAGAUGUUGGGUU
rnacentral:rRNA from 1 species